UGUGAAUGAAUGGAAUGCUUACUAA
rnacentral:piRNA from 1 species